rnacentral:pre_miRNA from 2 species
AGGUGGUCCGUGGCGCGUUCGCUUCAUUUAUGGCGCACAUUACACGGUCGACCUCU